AUGUAAGGCUGGCCAAGAAAUAUGGUGAU
rnacentral:piRNA from 1 species